rnacentral:rRNA from 1 species
UACGUAGGGCGCAAGCGUUAUCCGGAAUUAUUGGGCGUAAAGAGCUCGUAGGCGGUUUGUCGCGUCUGCCGUGAAAGUCCGGGGCUCAACUCCGGAUCUGCGGUGGGUACGGGCAGACUAGAGUGAUGUAGGGGAGACUGGAAUUCCUGGUGUAGCGGUGAAAUGCGCAGAUAUCAGGAGGAACACCGGUGGCGAAGGCGGUUCUCUGGGCAUUACCUGACGCUGAGGAGCGAAAGCGUGGGGAGCAAACAGG